rnacentral:rRNA from 1 species
UACGGAGGGUGCGAGCGUUGUCCGGAAUCAUUGGGCGUAAAGGGCGCGUAGGUGGCGGGAUAAGCGUGCGGUGAAAGCUCGGGGCUCAACCCCGCGUCGGCCGUGCGAACUAUUCUGCUUGAGCACUGUAGAGGCAGGCGGAAUUCCGGGUGUAGCGGUGGAAUGCGUAGAGAUCCGGAAGAACACCGGUGGCGAAGGCGGCCUGCUGGGCAGUAGCUGACACUGAGGCGCGACAGCGUGGGGAGCAAACAGG